GACGAACGCUGGCGGCGUGCUUAACACAUGCCAGUCGAACGAUGACGACCGGGCUUGCUCGGUCUGAUUAGUGGCGAACGGGUGAGUAACACGUGAGCAACCUGCCCUUCACUCUGGGAUAACCUCGGGAAAUCGGGGCUAAUACCGGAUAUGAGCUCCUGUCGCAUGGCGGGUGUUGGAAAGUUUUUCGGUGAAGGAUGGGCUCGCGGCCUAUCAGUUUGUUGGUGAGGUAGUGGCUCACCAAGGCGAUGACGGGUAGCCGGCCUGAGAGGGCGACCGGCCACACUGGGACUGAGACACGGCCCAGACUCCUACGGGAGGCAGCAGUGGGGAAUAUUGCACAAUGGGCGAAAGCCUGAUGCAGCGACGCCGCGUGAGGGAUGACGGCCUUCGGGUUGUAAACCUCUUUCAGCAGGGAAGAAGCGAAAGUGACGGUACCUGCAGAAGAAGCGCCGGCUAACUACGUG
rnacentral:rRNA from 1 species